rnacentral:rRNA from 1 species
AGGAAGUAAAAGUCGUAACAAGGUUUCCGUAGGUGAACCUGCGGAAGGAUCAUUAUCGAAAUUAUAGGUGAGGGUUGUAGCUGGCCUCUCGGGGCAUGUGCACGCCCGAGCCCUUAAUCCACACACACCUGUGAACCUAUUGUAAGGGCCCUUAAAAAAGGCCUUUACGUCUUAUCAUCAACCCAUCGUAUGUCUCAUAGAAUGUAAAUAUAUGUCCUCGCCUUAAAAAGCGUUGAUAAACUUAUACAACUUUCAACAACGGAUCUCUUGGCUCUCGCAUCGAUGAAGAACGCAGCGAAAUGCGAUAAGUAAUGUGAAUUGCAGAUUUUCAGUGGAUCAUCGAAUCUUUGAACGCACCUUGCGCUCCUUGGUAUUCCGAGGAGCAUGCCUGUUUGAGUGUCAUUAAAUUCUCAACUCCGAUCGAUUUGUUUCGACUUCGGAGCUUGGAUUUGGAGCGUGCUGGCGUCGGUCGGCUCCUCUUAAAUGCAUCAGCGGAAUCUAACGUUUCGGACGUCAGUGUGAUAAUCAUGUUGCGCUGUCUGUCUGAUCCGAAAGCCCGCUCACAAUGGUCUUCGGACAAACCUCACUAUCAUAUUUGACCUCAAAUCAUGUAGGACUACCCGCUGAACUUAAGCAUAUCAAUAAGCGGAGGA